UUUUGCAGAUUUCAAAGCUAUCACUCUGAGGAAUAGCGAGAUAAAGUUCUUCAUGUAUAAGGGUUACACCUACUCCUUCGGGUUUUCAGCUCGCAAUAACCAAAGGUGGCGGUGCACAAACUCCCGCGAGUGUAAGGCCUCCAUCGUGAUCAGCAAUCAGGAGGAGUUUCUCCAGGCGUUUGGGACCCACGACCACCCCCCUCCAAAAUACAAGAGCAUUGAUAAUAACUUGAAAAAUCUAAUCGCCUAAGGUGGGAAUCGAACCCACGACUUGCUUGCCAGGGGACAGCUCUAGCCAUCUAAGCUGCUUAGUACGCUAGAUUUCAAAGCUAUAAUUCUGGCGAAAAACGACAAAAAGUAUUUCAUGUAUAAGGGUUAUACAUACACCCUCGGGUUUAAGAGUCGCAACAGUCAAAGAUGGCGGUGCACAAACACCUACAACUGUCGGGCGUACAUCCUGGUGACCCAUCAGGAGAAGUUCCUGGAUGCGUUUGGGGACCACAACCACAGUCCUCCGAGAUACCACGUCACAUCUGACGGGAAAUAUUUGCGCAUUUGAAUACCCUAAUAUUGCGACACUUUCAUUACUGGUCAUAGUCCUUACUUUACAGUAUGUAUUUCCAACUGGUGGCGAAAUUCAGUAUUUUUAUAGUUAAGCAUGAAUUAAUAUUUUGCUACAUUUAUUAAUAAAGUCCUUUAAAAUAGUAAAAA